UACGUAGGGUGCAAGCGUUGUCCGGAAUUAUUGGGCGUAAAGAGCUCGUAGGCGGUCUGUUGCGUCGGCUGUGAAAACCCGAGGCUCAACCUCGGGCCUGCAGCCGAUACGGGCAGACUAGAGUUCGGCAGGGGAGACUGGAAUUCCUGGUGUAGCGGUGAAAUGCGCAGAUAUCAGGAGGAACACCGGUGGCGAAGGCGGGUCUCUGGGCCGAUACUGACGCUCAGACACGACAGCAUGGGGAGCGAACGGG
rnacentral:rRNA from 1 species